rfam:Picea glauca, whole genome shotgun sequence.
UCUUAUGUACAUGCCUAUAGUGUUAUUACAUUGGAUCCCAUCAUAACUCUGCAGUUAAGCGUGCCUGGGCUAGAGUAAUACUGAUAUGGGCAACCUCUCGAGAAGUCCAAGUGUUUUACAUGGC